rnacentral:lncRNA from 1 species
GUCCUUUCCUCUCCUCCUCUCCAUGUCUCGGCGUCUCCUUAGAGAAAAAGUUUGCAGGCUCAGAAAGAUCGCAGUCAUCUGGGUGCUACUUACAUAUGAGCUUUGCUUCCAAUAAAAUGUGUCCCAAUUCGAGUGGCAACGAGAUCUGUAAGUCCUUCACUAUCACUGGCUAGAAACUAUGUUGAGUGACUUAAGUCUACUGUUUCAUAGGAAUUGCUGCUUGUGAUGAAAGAAAUCUUUUAAUGCGAGGUGUUUGUUUAUAAUCUUAUACACUGUGUGCUAUGCCUUAUUGCUUGCAUAUGUGCUUUGCUACCAAUAAAAUGUGUCCCAAUUCAAGUGGCAACGAUCU